UACGUAGGGGGCGAGCGUUGUCCGGAUUCAUUGGGCGUAAAGCGCGCGCAGGCGGUUGGGAGAGCCCGGCGUGAAAGCCCCCAGCUCAACUGGGGGAGGCCGUCGGGGACCUUCCGACUGGAGGCCGGUAGGGGCGAGCGGAAUUCCCGGUGUAGUGGUGGAAUGCGUAGAUAUCAGGAGGAACACCGAUGGCGAAGGCAGUGGUCUGGGCCGAUACUGACGCUGAGGAGCGAAAGCGUGGGGAGCGAACAGG
rnacentral:rRNA from 1 species